rnacentral:rRNA from 1 species
ACUCCUACGGGAGGCAGCAGUGGGGAAUUUUGGACAAUGGGGGCAACCCUGAUCCAGCAAUGCCGCGUGUGUGAAGAAGGCCUUCGGGUUGUAAAGCACUUUUGUCCGGAAAGAAAUCGCGCGUGGUUAUACUUGUGGCGGCUGACGUACCGCAG